ensembl:snoRNA
GUACACUGACGAUCUUGUUGGGCCGUCGUGUCUGGGCCACUGAGCCACAGUGAUGAAGCAGAGGGCCCAAGGAG